GUCUCUCAGUCUCUCACUGUCGUCUCUCUCACUCUCUUUAAACCUAUCAAACCCUUGCCCUGUUUUGGUCUCUCUCGACAGUGAUGGUGACAACGACGAUCACGGUGAUGGUGAUGGUGAUGGUGACGGUGGAUUGGUGAUGGCGAUAGUGAAUUCUGUGAUGGUGGAUUAGUGAUGGCGAAGGUGACGGUGGUUAGCAAAGAAAAUCGAUGGCUUCAAAAUCUGGUAAUGGUAAUGGACGGCGUAGAAAAAGUAAGAAAGGGCCUGAUAAUCUUCCUGCAGGUCAAUAUACAACACCACGACCACCACCUAUUGCCACAACUCUUCAACCAGCUACUACAAAUCUCCCCCCUCCUCCUAGAUCAACUAUUUUACUACCAAAUGCAUUUUUCAUGCCCCCACCAUCUGACAAGUUCCACACCUUUUCUUCCAAUAAUAGUCUGCAUAAUAGCUCUUUAUUUGUGCCUUCGAUAUCAUCCACACCUAUCCUUUUUGGAUUGAGAAUUGGAGGUCUUAGCACAUCAACAUCGCCAUCCAUUGAUAGUGCUACAAUUCUAAUGCUACAACAGGUGCUUCUCAGAAUCUCAAUUUAAAGAGGUAUUAGAAUAUGACAAAUACGGGAGGCUACGCAUCGUCCCUGAUUAUGAUGGGUUCAUUCCAGCAUAUAGCGCCGGGCAUAUGGUUACAGAAGUAAUUAAACCAUUUUUCAAAAAGCCAUGGAAUAGUUGGAACGAGAUUCCAUACGAAAUCAGAAUCUAUAUGUGGAAACAGUUUACGGUAUAAGCAAUUUUAUAAGUUAUGAAUCUCAUUGCCUAUAGAUAGUUUUUCCAUUAUAUCCAUCAACUCAUUUCAUGAUUUUAUAUUAAACUGUUUUGUAUACAAAGUGUUCAUGGAGAUCUUUCCAUGACAAUGAAAUAGAUCACAUUUUUUUGGUUGAAAGCAGCUCUACAGAUCAAAGAACACUUGUAUAAGGCCCGAAGUUAAUUGCAACAACGUAGUUGGGUUAAUGAUGAAGUGUAGGCCAAAUUCUUGGAAUUAUGGGACACUCCUGAAUAUAAGGCAAAAAGGGAAUGGGGAAAGGCAAAUUGAGCCUCUGAAAUGGGUCACUCGUUACACACUGGAGUUCGAUGAGUUUCGCUACCCACCGACGAUGACUAAAAUUCUUAAAUGGAGGAGUAGAUGUACCUCUUGAUACGGCCUUCAAAGAGGCACAUAAGAACAAAAAAUAGGAUGGUACAAGAGAAGAUUUGAUCAAACUGUAUGAUAAGGAUGCAUAUAAAGGAUUUUAAAAAGGCAUUGAAGAUUGGUGUCAAACCCAACCUACUUCAGAGGAUGGUACCAUGGUCCAACCAUCGCCUGCAAAUAUGACUAAAAUAUGGACAACUAUAGUAGGUGGUCCAAAGAAAGGUAAAACCUAUGGUCUUGGAGUUAACCAAUUCUCGAGUAGUUCUUCCCCAAUGUUGCCCAACUCCACUUCUAUUUCGCAAAAUACAGAAAAAAUGGAAUCAAUGAAAAAACAAAUCAAAGAGUUGACACAACAAUGUGCAGUUAAUGAUACCAAAUUUGCCAAGUUUGCUAAGUUUGAGGAGUUAGUCAAGAAGCAUAUGCCUCAAGUAUUUGAUGAUGAGGAGGAUAGUGAAUCAGAUGAUUAGAUUGUAGUUGAUGGUUCUUGUUUAUGAUUGUGAUGUUUAGACUUAAACUAUUAUAAUUGAUGUUUAUUUUGGAUUGUGAUAUUUAGACUUGAACUUGUCUUGAAAUGUUUAAACUAUUUGAUUCGAUGUUUGUUAUGGAUGUUUCUAACUGGUUGAAUUUUUAA